UACAGAGGUCUCAACCGUUGUUCGGAUUCAUUGGGCGUAAAGGGUGCGUAGGCGGUCGUGCAAGUCGGAUGUGAAAUCUCAGGGCUCAACCCUGAAACUGCAUUCGAUACUGCGUGGCUAGGGUGCUGGAGAGGAGACUGGAAUUUACGGUGUAGCAGUGAAAUGCGUAGAUAUCAGGAGGAACACCGGUGGCGAAGGCGGGUCUCUGGGCAACAACUGACGCUGAGGAGCGAAAGCGUGGGGAGCGAACAGG
rnacentral:rRNA from 1 species